rnacentral:rRNA from 1 species
CUUGAUUAAUUAUAAGAGGUCAAGCCUGCCCAGUGACAUUGUUCAACGGCCGCGGUAUCCUAACCGUGCGAAGGUAGCGUAAUCACUUGUCCUUUAAAUAAGGACUAGUAUGAAUGGCUUCACGAAGGCUAUACUGUCUCCUUAAUCUAAUCAAUUAAACUAAUCUCCCCGUGAAGAAGCGGGGAUUCAUCUAUAAGACGAGAAGACCCUAUGGAGCUUUAAACAUCUAAGACACUUGAUUUUACCUACUAAACUUCAUGCAACCUAUCCUUUUGUCUUAAGUUUUAGGUUGGGGUGACCACGGAGAAAAAUUAAACCUCCACGUAGAAAGAAAAUUCUUUUCUAAGCAAAAAACCACAUCUUAACGCAUCAAUAUAUUGACUUAACUUGACCCAAUUUCUUGCUCAACGAAC